UACGUAGGUGGCAAGCGUUAUCCGGAAUUAUUGGGCGUAAAGCGCGCGCAGGCGGUUUUUUAAGUCUGAUGUGAAAGCCCACGGCUCAACCGUGGAGGGUCAUUGGAAACUGGGGAACUUGAGUGCAGAAGAGAAAAGCGGAAUUCCACGUGUAGCGGUGAAAUGCGUAGAGAUGUGGAGGAACACCAGUGGCGAAGGCGGCUUUUGGUCUAGUAACUGACGCUGAGGCGCGAAAGCGUGGGGAGCAAACAGGG
rnacentral:rRNA from 1 species